GACGAACGCUGGCGGCGUGCUUAACACAUGCAAGUCGAACGGAAAGGCCCUGCUUUUGUGGGGUGCUCGAGUGGCGAACGGGUGAGUAACACGUGAGUAACCUGCCCUUUACUUUGGGAUAACUUCAGGAAACUGGGGCUAAUACCGGAUAGGAGCUCCUGCUGCAUGGUGGGGGUUGGAAAGUUUCGGCGGUUGGGGAUGAACUCGCGGCUUAUCAGCUUGUUGGUGGGGUAGUGGCUUACCAAGGCUUUGACGGGUAGCCGGCCUGAGAGGGUGACCGGCCAAAGGGGAAUUAGGAAAGGACCAGGAGGCUAAGGGGGGCAAGAGGGGGGAAAAAGGGAAAAAGGGGCGGAGGCUGGAGGGAGCAACGCCGGGUGGGGAAGAACGGCAUUGGGGUUGUAAACGGAUUAAGCUGGGAACGAACGGUGGGGAAGGUAAAGGGGGAAAAAAGAACGGCUAAAUUAGUG
rnacentral:rRNA from 1 species